UAAAAUGACUAUAUAAAGUAAAUAAUAAUUAUCAAAAUAAUUAAUAAUUAUAUUGAAUAAUAUGAUUUAAUGUAUAUUUAAUCAUCUUCGGGGCACCACUCUUUGAAACAAAGAAAAUUAUAGCAAAUUUAAUGUAGUCUCAUAAAAUAAGUGUCAAAGUAUACUGAACUACCAAUGUGGAACUCUGAUUGAUAAUUAAAUUAAUAACUAUAACCAUAAAUCACCAGAUCAAUAGAUGGUAUCAGUUGAAGGAUGUUGUAGUUCUUGACAGCAGCGGUCAGCAUUAUUCUCUUUUAUGCAACAUUAAACAGACAAACAUGUAUAACCCACAACAUUUAAUUAUUAGAUAAUAAAAGGUGUAAAAAACAAUAUUAAUCUAACUAAGCAACUAAAAAAAGUGUUUGUGUGUGAGAGACAAAGACAAGAUGGCUUCUUGUCUCAAGAUGGCGACUGAGUCUGCACGGCCUACAAACAAUAUGGCUGGCACUUUAAAACUACAAAAAUGGCCGCCGGGACCGCACAUGUGCUCAGUCAGAACAAAGAGUUGUUUGAUGUGCAGGUUUAAAAACAAACCAAUGCAAUAUAUCACUGACUGGAUCGUCAUCAUUUCCUCAUGUUGAUCAUUACAUUUCUACGGAGCCGCCCAAGGAAAACAUUUCUAUUAACUCGUUCCCUCGAAGAAGUGCUCUAUGAAGGAACGAGGUACUAACUCGAGGGAACAAGUUAAUAAAAAUGUUCUCCUAGGGGUGCUCCGUACGUUUCUGUAUUUUCUGUUGCAGAUUAUUUCUAGGAGACAGAGUUGUAACGUCCGUCCGUCCACUGAUCAUGUGACUUUAUCAGACUUCCUCCCUUUCACAAUAAAAGUCAAACUUCACACUGAGCUGAUAAAAAGUCGACAGAAGGCAGACGGUCGAUUUGUUUCAUUUAUUGUGUUGUUGUUCAGAGGAGGUAACAGUUCCCAUCAGCCUGUUCUGUCACAUUAAAUAAACAACAUGAUGAUGAGAGACAAACAGAGUUUCAGUGCAAACACAAACUGAUGGUGAGAUCACGUAAAAGUGCCGAUCGAUCGAUCGGCUGUUCAACUGGUCAAUACUGUAGUGUGCUUCCAGGAGCUGAUGAGGUAUUUUUCACUGUUUCACACCCAAACACGACAAAUCUGCUCGUUUUUAGCAUCUUUUCU